rnacentral:lncRNA from 1 species
CAGAAGCCCCCCCCCCCAACAGGACCCAGAAUCCUCUGGGUGCUCUGCAAGGCCUAGGUACCCAGAAUGAUUCCCAAGGACUCUGCUACCCAAAAUCCUCACUGUAACCCAUACAAGUACUACAAUACCCAGAAGCCUCAGCGUGUCCGUCCUGGAGAAAUAUGAUACCCAGAACCUUCCACAGCCCACAAGAUUUCAAAACACAAAAUCUUUAGUGUACCCUCUUAAGGAAAAAGCUUCAGCCAAAACAACUGAGCACAGAGCAAACAGCUAGCCAUAUGUACAGUAGACAGGAAUGGAAACACUGACAUUGCUAGAACUGGAUAGCGCUGUGAUGCAUUAAGGUCUUGGGCAGCUUGCGGC